rnacentral:tRNA from 1 species
GGAGAGAUGGCCGAGCUGGUCGAAGGCGGUCGCCUGCUAAGCGAUUAAACGAGUUAAGCCUCGUUUCGUGGGUUCAAAUCCCACUCUCUCCGCCA